GGAUCGAUAGCUCAGUGGUAGAGCGGGCGAUUGCAGUUUCAUGCAGUUAUCGCCAGGCCCCGCGUUCGAACCGCGGUCGGUCCU
rfam:Colletotrichum salicis strain CBS 607.94 Scaffold_97.1, whole genome shotgun sequence.